ensembl:lncRNA
GGGGCAGUCAGAUCUCUUAGCAAACUGUAUGUUUUUGGGCCAAUUAAACUCAACAACGCUGGUACUCUUUUGUUAUCAGCAAUGUCGUUUGCAAUGAAGUACUGUUCCAGUCGUUCAAUGUAAGUUGCCCAGUUUUCUUGCGUGUCAUCAAACACAUCUAUUUUCCCGAUGCUAGCCAUUCUCUUUACCUCCGGCUCCACGGGUCUUUGAUCUGCCGCCUCGUUCUCGUCAGCUCUCCCCUCGUCUUCACUUCUUGCUAGCUGUUGUGCUACAGGGUCAAAAUCUUCCUCUCUUCCUACGAACUCCAUCUGUAUUCGUGAUGCACACUGCAGAUGAAUGUGGUACCUUCAGGCAUUUGGAAAUUGCUCCCAAGGAUGAACCAGACUUGUGGAGGUCUACAAUUUUUUUCUGAGGUCUUGGAUGAUUUAUUUGGAUUUUCCCAUGAUGUCAAGCAAAGAGGCACUGAGUUUGAAGGUAGGCCUUGAAAUACAUCCACAGGCACACCUCCAAUUGACUCAAAUUAUGUCAAUUAGCCUAACAGAAGCUUCUAAAGCCAUGACAUAAUUUUCUGGAAUUUUCCAAGCUGUUUAAAACAACAGUCAACUUAGUGUAUGUAAACUUCUGACCAACUGGUAUUGUGAUACAGUGAAUUAUAAGUGAUAAAAUCUGUCUGUAAACAAUUGAUGGAAAAAUUACUUGUGUCAUGCACAAAGUAGAUGUCCUAACCGACUUGCCAAAACUAUAGUUUGUUAACAAGAAAUUUGUGGAGUGGUUGAAAAACAAGUUUUAAUGACCAUCGAAAAUGUAUGUAAGCUUCCGAUUUCAACUGUAAAGUACCUAUGUGGGGGUGUAGGCUAUGGUCCUUGUUUGACUGACCUGUACCCUUUUUGCAGUCAUUACACAAUACCUACUUAUCUCUUCCAGCCAUCAGAACAAUCCUGCAUAAACUGACUGUCCCUGGCUGUACGAAUAACAGACAUACAGUACACACACACAGACCCACCCACACACAGACCCACACACAAACAAAGACAUUUAUAAACAUACACAAUGGAAGUGACUGGAAUCGAAAACAUUUCAACCAAUGAAUAUAUUGGUUAACUUACAAUGCUCUUAAAUUGAACACAGUGAGAAUAGAAACAGAGUAGAAGGAAAACAUGAAGUAAUGUUUCUAAAGGACAUUCUUUCUUUCUACAGUGCGUUUCAUCAACUAUAAACUUCACAAAGGAGAUUCAAGGAUGCAAGCUUUGAAAGCAGAGUGUCGAUACACCAGCUUGUAUACCUAACAAACAAUGGUUUUCCUUCCCUGAGCCCUUUUUUCUCUUUCAAGGUUUGGGUGAUAGAGAUAGGGAGGGAGGAUACUCAUUUCAACCACCAUAUCAAGUAACUGUCAGCAUGUCUAGACCAGGUGUUUCAGAUGCUGUUGCCUGGUCAUCGCUAAGGAAUUAAAGCCCUUGUGGGUCACAAUACCGCUGGGCUUUAGGGCCUAUAGAAACCAAACAGCCCAUUGUUGUCACUGAGAACUUUACUUUUCAUGAGAUGGCUGAUAGGUUUGUUUUGUCUGCACUACCUCCUCCCAAUCCAUCACACGGCACUGACAAAAUAUUAAAUGUUGACAGCUCCUCUGAUUACAGGAGAGGGAAAAUUAGUGCUUUCCACCUGAGUUUAGCCUUUAAGUGAUCAUCUUUCCACCUGUUAUACCUUACCUUGCCUUUGUCCAGCCAAAUGAAAUUUGCAAGUCAAACGACAGUUUGAACGUAAAAAUAUUUGUUUAUCAAAUUGCGUUUUUUGGCAUUAAUGCCUUCUCGAACAUGUAAACUUUCAUUAACAACAAACAUGUAUGCCAUCUGUAAAUACAAAUAAAAUUGUUUAAUUACCAGCCUUGUUUGUUACGCCACAAAAAAGACAGCAACCUUCCCACGAUUGGCUAAGAUAAUGAGUGGGCUGGACAUGCCGAGAAAGGAGUUCAGAUUGGUCUGCCAUAUAGAUGGCUUCUGUCUAUUUGAGCUGGUCAGUCUGUAUUGGUAAUCCUGACGAAUGCGGCUUUAAAAAAAUGUAUUGUGUAGUGGAGCUGCAUAAGUGUUGCUCUCCACUUUCUGGAGGAUCAAGUUUUGAAAUCAGUGAAAUUAGAAUAUGAUUGCUAAAGAGAUGGAGAAAACACCCAUCUCCGGAUUACAUCUUCAAACUAAGGGCAACCGUGGCAUGGCAUUCAUGACAGGGAGACGCGUCCAUCAUGCAUGAUGACGUAUACUGGUAAGAUAAUAUAACGUUAGCUAGCUACAUUUUCAGAUAUUAGACAUUUAUAAUUUUGACAAAGUGGUUUCAUUUGAAGAUAAAGUGUACUGUUAGCUAGCUAGCUAACGUUAGCUGGCUGGCUCCCUAGCAGACGCUAUUAUUCGUAUACCAGAGCCAUUUGCUUUGCUAGUUAGAGCCUAAUGUUAGCUAGCUAACAUUAAAUCUGGUUGGUUAGUUUCCAGCAUAUUCAUGCAGGGUAGUAACGAUAUGAUUUGGCACUGUGUUAAUUGUUGUUUAACUAGCUAGUUAGCUGGCUGGCUUAAAGUGUACAACACUCUUGAAUAUGGCCUGUGUCAGUAAAUGUAUGCAAAAAAAAGUAAUGAAAUUGUUGCCAGCAGAGGUGGUUAGGCUGUUUUCCAUAGGUUAACAAAUCAUUGGCCAGAGUGUCAAGUGUGCGCUCUCAACGCUCUAAGCAAAAUUAGAUGGGUGGGGAUAAAGCUUAAGAGGGUGUGAACAAUGCUGAAUGGGUGUAGACAAAGAAGAGCUCUUCACUAGAUACGAACUGUCACGCCUUUCCCCGCUCUGGCGCUCGAGGGUGCCAGGCUGCCCAUCAUUACGCACACCUGUCACCGUCGUUACGCGCGUCAGCGCUUCAUUGGACUCACCUGGACUCCAUCACUUUAUUGAUUGCCUCCUCUGUCUUUGCCUCAAUUUGAUCCCUUUGUCAGCAUUAAUGUCGUUGGGUUUCCCCUGUCCAGACACUGUCCGUGUUUUGUUUCAUGUCUGUUAUUUAUUAAAUAUUCACUCCCUGUACCUGCUUCUCGUCUCCCAGUGUCUGUCCUCACAAAAACAUUAAAAGGCC